rnacentral:lncRNA from 1 species
CACAUGAGGCAGGGGUAUAAGAUAUGAACCAAGAUGGCCUCUUAUUUAUCCCUUGUUUAAAGUGGAAUGCGAGAUACUAGUGAGAUAAUGAUGGAUUAGAUAGUAGGCAAUCUGAGGAUUUUAAUCAAUAAUUUAAUCAUUAAAUAUGUAUUUCAAGACAUCAAACAAGAGUCUCCAUAGAUAGUUAGGGUAUUGGGCCCA